rnacentral:rRNA from 1 species
AGUCGAGCGAUGAGAUCACUUCGGUGAAGGAUUAGCGGCGAACGGGUGAGGAACACGUGAAGAAUCUGCCUUCAACUCUGGGAUAACUCCGGGAAACCGGGGCUAAUACCGGAUAUGAGCCUUGAUCGCAUGAUCGGGGCUGGAAAGUUUUUCGGUUGAAGAUGACUUCGCGGCCUAUCAGCUUGUUGGUGAGGUAAUGGCUCACCAAGGCGACGACGGGUAGCCGGCCUGAGAGGGCGACCGGCCACACUGGGACUGAGACACGGCCCAGACUCCUACGGGAGGCAGCAGUGGGGAAUAUUGGGCAAUGGAGGAAACUCUGACCCAGCGACGCCGCGUGCGGGAUGAAGGCCUUCGGGUUGUAAACCGCUUUCAGCAGGGAAUAAGCGCAAGUGAAGGUACCUGCAGAAGAAGCACCGGCUAACUAUGUGCCAGCAGCCGCGGUAAUACAUAGGGUGCAAGCGUUGUCCGGAAUUAUUGGGCGUAAAGAGCUCGUAGGUGGUUUGUUACGUCGGUUGUGAAAUUCAGGGGCUCAACCCCUGACUUGCAGCCGAUACGGGCAAGCUAGAGUUUGGUAGGGGAGACUGGAAUUCCUGGUGUAGCGGUGGAAUGCGCAGAUAUCAGGAGGAACACCGAUGGCGAAGGCAGGUCUCUGGGCCAAUACUGACACUGAGGAGCGAAAGCGUGGGGAGCGAACAGGAUUAGAUACCCUGGUAGUCCACGCCGUAAACGGUGGGCGCUAGUUGUGCGAACCUUCCACGGUUUGUGCGACGCAGCUAACGCAUUAAGCGCCCCGCCUGGGGAGUACGAUCGCAAGAUUAAAACU